UACGUAGGGUGCAAGCGUUAAUCGGAAUUACUGGGCGUAAAGCGUGCGCAGGCGGUUGUGCAAGACAGAUGUGAAAUCCCCGGGCUUAACCUGGGAACUGCAUUUGUGACUGCACGGCUAGAGUGUGGCAGAGGGGGGUAGAAUUCCACGUGUAGCAGUGAAAUGCGUAGAUAUGUGGAGGAAUACCGAUGGCGAAGGCAGCCCCCUGGGAUAACACUGACGCUCAUGCACGAAAGCGUGGGGAGCAAACAGG
rnacentral:rRNA from 1 species